UGCUCCGAACGUUGAGUUAAAGUGCCAAAAUAUCCGCUAACCUAGAUCCCACAAAAGGUGUUGGUUCAUUAAGACAGCAGGACGGUGGCCAUGGAAGUCGGAACCCGCUAAGGAGUGUGUAACAACUCACCUGCCGAAUGAACUAGCCCUGAAAAUGGAUGGCGCUGAAGCGGAUUACUUAUACUCAACCAAUGAGACAAAUGCGAAGUCUUAUUGAGUAGGGGGGCGUGGGGUUCGCGGUGCAUUCUGUGGCGUAAGCCGGGAUGAAGCGGACUCUAGUGCAGAUCUUGGUAGCAGUAGCAAAAUAUUCAAAUGAGAACUUUGAAGACUGAAGUGGAGAAAGGUUCCAUGUGAACAGUAAUUGGACAUGGGUGAGUCGAUCCUAAGAGAUAGGAAAAUUCUGUUUGAACUGGUGCCUUCUUCGGAUGGUACUGGCUAUCGAAAGGGAA
rnacentral:rRNA from 1 species